rnacentral:lncRNA from 1 species
CAUCCAUUAAUAACAAUGUUUACACUAUUGCAGUGCUUUUUACACUUGAAAGCUGAAUUUUAAAAUUUCUAUUGAAAUUCAACAAAGAAAACAUUUUACUUCACUUAAUACUAUACAGAGUGAAACAAUUAGUUAAACCAUGAUCGAAAUUAGAACAUCACAUAGAAAGACAUUAUGCUGAAAUGGAUCCAUCUGAAGUCUUUAUACUAUUAGAUGUCUCUUUAUUGAAUGACAGUAUCUGCAGAGAUAUGACGUAAACCAUGCUAGAAUAGUUUGGAAUGCAUUGAUAAAUUGCUCUAUCGAUCUCGUUCUGCUUCACUUACCAUAAUUAUAGCACA